UUUAAGGUACUCAGUAACCUUAGUGGACCU
rnacentral:piRNA from 1 species